AUGUGCUUUUAUUUGAUUAGUUUGUGUAUUUGUUGGUCCCGGUGCGAAAAAAGGAGAAAAACAAGCUAAAACAUGCAAGAAACGAGCAACCGGGAGCAGCCAAUAGUCCAGGGGCGGGGCUGAAAAUGAAAAAAAAAAAAACUGAAAGUUAAGGGAGUUAGCGUAUCGCGACAAAAGAAGGUCUCGUUUGUCGAGAUGCGCCACGCAGGGUUCCAUUAACCAAGCCUAGUUUGGGUUGACCGACUAUUUUGUCAUGUAGUGGCAUUAGAGUUAUAAACGAAUUGGGAUUUCUUGUUUUAUUUAAGUAUCGUUUUCUCCCAAUGUACACAACCAUUUGAUACAAAACUUUGAGGGGCGAUUCUAAGGAGCAUUAGAGCAAAGGAAUUUGUGAAAAACCCGAGGAUUGAAGAUCCAGAUCGCAUUUUGAAUAUUGCAACCCUUAAGGCUUCGGUAUCGAUUUUUCUUUGUUUUUUAUGGUUUUGAACAUGAUGUUUGUUUUCGUUGAACUUGGUUUUAAUUCUGUAAUCAUGUUUAGAGGCUAGUUUUCUAUAGCCGCCUAGGUUUGAUGAACUAAUCACAUGUUUGACUUGUUCGGUUUGACUUUUACCUUGUUUAUAUGUUUCGUUUAAAAUAGUUUUUAUUGUUACAGAUUAUGAUCAUGUAUGCUACUCUUUGUUGAUGAUAUUUAAUUGAUUUUUAUUAUUGAUGUGUUUGUAAAGGAAAAAUUCAUCAUAAUCACAUUAAAAUUAUUAGUUAAUUCAUGUUUAGACAUUAAAAUCAUGUUUAGAGGCUAGUUUUCUAUAGCCGCCUACAUGUUUGACUUGUUCGGUUUGACUUUUACCUUGUUUAUGUGUUUCGUUUAAAAUAGUUUUUAUUGUUACAGAUUAUGAUCAUGUAUGCUACUCUUUGUUGAUGAUAUUUAAUUGAUUUUUAUUAUUGAUGUGUUUGUAAAGGAAAAAUUCAUCAUAAUCACAUUAAAAUUCUUAGUUAAUUCGUUAAUCCGGCUAAUUAUCGUUUUAACCUUAUUAUUAGAGAUAAUAUAGGUAAUUAAUUAGUUAAAAUAAGUAGACAUAAGUGUGCAUCCAAUUCCCAUUGAAUAGAGAUAUGAUUUGGGAUUGCUAGGAUUUGUUUAGUCGGGUUUUUUUUGUAGCUUUAGACACUCGAUAGCUCUGGGUCUUUCUAUAUAUUCACGUCUAGGUCAUACUCGGUUUUGAUUUAUCAAUUUAAAACUAGCUUCAUAACUAAAAGUUGUUAAAAGUGUUACUUUUUCAUGUCUCUAGUUAUGUGAUUCGGCAUGGAUAGGUCGAGUUAUUUCUAUCUAGCACUUCAUUCACAUUUUGAUUGUUCUUAAUAGUUCGGUUAUAGGAACUAAAGAGUGGGGGUCUCGCUCUGAGCUGAAUAGUUACUAUAUGACUAAAUCAUCCAUAACGGGAGGUUGGUCAAGUUAGAAAUCAGAAAAAUUUGAUAACUGUCAACCGUAAAAGUCUUUCAUGUGGUUAGGGACUCUUGCCCAGGUGGUGGUUGACUUCUUAGAUUCAACCUCUUGAAACAUAUACAUAUUAGAUAAAUAAUAUAAUAAUAUUAUUUAUUCCCUUAACAUGCUACAUUCCAACUUUGCCCCAUAUAUGAUGUGCCGAGUAAAUUAUGACAAAUAAUAAUGAGUUGAGAACCGGUCCAUGCCCGUAGUAAUUAGACCUAACCCAUAACAAACUCACUAUGUUGGUCAACGUCGGUGUUGAGAGUGGGUCCAAGAUUAAGACCAAGCUAUCUUCAUUAACUCAUUAAGACUGACACGGUUAACUAACAGAUUGGAUUUGAGACUCGGUUCUUAAAGUAAUAUAAACAUGCCAAGUCCAAAGGUAAUAAUGACAUAUCUAGCUAAAAAUAAUACGCACAAUCAACCGUAUUUUAUACCCAAAAUGAUAUGAUAUCGCGGGACUUUAACUCAUUUCUUGCCUGGGCGCCAUUGAAACCAAUGGCUUACGUCUCGCUGAUGUGGCGUAAUGAACCUCCAGGGCUCCAGGCAGCCUUAAAGAAAUCGGUAGUAAUAAACUUUACUAAAUAAAAUACAUAAAAAAAAUGAAACUAAGGUUGUUUUAAACGUACACACAUUAUCUUAGAAUUUAUAAACCUAACCUAAGAUUUCCAACUCUUGAAUAUUUUAUAUACUUGAAUAA
rnacentral:lncRNA from 1 species